rnacentral:rRNA from 1 species
GAUGAACGCUGGCGGUGUGCCUAAUACAUGCAAGUCGAGCGAACAGACGAGGAGCUUUCUCCUCUGACGUUAGCGGCGGACGGGUGAGUAAUACGUGGAUAACCUUCCUAUAAGACUGGGCUAACUUCGGGAAAACGGAGCUAAUACCGGAUCAUAUAUCGAACCGCAUGGUUCACUAGUGAAAGACGGUUUUGCCGACACUUUUAGAUGGAUCCGCGCCGCAUUCUCUAGUUGGUAAGGUAACGGCGUACCAAGGCAACGAUGCGUAGCCGACCUGAGAGGGUGAUCAGCCACACUGGAACUGAGACACGGUCCAGACUCCUACGGGAGGCAGCAGUGGGGAAUCUUCCGCAAUGUGCGAAAGCCUGACGAAGCAACGCCGCGUGAGUGAUGAAGGUCUUCGGAUCGUAAAACUCUGUUAUUAGGGAAGAACAAAUGUAUAAGUAACUAUGCACGUCAUGACGGUACCUAAUCAAAAAGCCACGGCUAACUACGUG